rnacentral:rRNA from 2 species
CUGGUAUUGAUUGGUGCUUGCAUCAUGAUUUACAUUUGACUGAGUGGCGAACUGGUGAGUAACACGUGGGAAACCUGCCCAGAAGCGGGGGAUAACACCUGGAAACAGAUGCUAAUACCGCAUAACAACUUGGACCGCAUGGUCCGAGCUUGAAAGAUGGCUUCGGCUAUCACUUUUGGAUGGUCCCGCGGCGUAUUAGCUAGAUGGUGGGGUAACGGCUCACCAUGGCAAUGAUACGUAGCCGACCUGAGAGGGUAAUCGGCCACAUUGGGACUGAGACACGGCCCAAACUCCUACGGGAGGCAGCAGUAGGGAAUCUUCCACAAUGGACGAAAGUCUGAUGGAGCAACGCCGCGUGAGUGAAGAAGGGUUUCGGCUCGUAAAACUCUGUUGUUAAAGAAGAACAUAUCUGAGAGUAACUGUUCAGGUAUUGACGGUAUUUAACCAGAAAGCCACGGCUAACUACGUGCCAGCAGCCGCGGUAAUACGUAGGUGGCAAGCGUUGUCCGGAUUUAUUGGGCGUAAAGCGAGCGCAGGCGGUUUUUUAAGUCUGAUGUGAAAGCCUUCGGCUCAACCGAAGAAGUGCAUCGGAAACUGGGAAACUUGAGUGCAGAAGAGGACAGUGGAACUCCAUGUGUAGCGGUGAAAUGCGUAGAUAUAUGGAAGAACACCAGUGGCGAAGGCGGCUGUCUGGUCUGUAACUGACGCUGAGGCUCGAAAGUAUGGGUAGCAAACAGGAUUAGAUACCCUGGUAGUCCAUACCGUAAACGAUGAAUGCUAAGUGUUGGAGGGUUUCCGCCCUUCAGUGCUGCAGCUAACGCAUUAAGCAUUCCGCCUGGGGAGUACGGCCGCAAGGCUGAAACUCAAAGGAAUUGACGGGGGCCCGCACAAGCGGUGGAGCAUGUGGUUUAAUUCGAAGCUACGCGAAGAACCUUACCAGGUCUUGACAUACUAUGCAAAUCUAAGAGAUUAGACGUUCCCUUCGGGGACAUGGAUACAGGUGGUGCAUGGUUGUCGUCAGCUCGUGUCGUGAGAUGUUGGGUUAAGUCCCGCAACGAGCGCAACCCUUAUUAUCAGUUGCCAGCAUUAAGUUGGGCACUCUGGUGAGACUGCCGGUGACAAACCGGAGGAAGGUGGGGAUGACGUCAAAUCAUCAUGCCCCUUAUGACCUGGGCUACACACGUGCUACAAUGGAUGGUACAACGAGUUGCGAACUCGCGAGAGUAAGCUAAUCUCUUAAAGCCAUUCUCAGUUCGGAUUGUAGGCUGCAACUCGCCUACAUGAAGUCGGAAUCGCUAGUAAUCGCGGAUCAGCAUGCCGCGGUGAAUACGUUCCCGGGCCUUGUACACACCGCCCGUCACACCAUGAGAGUUUGUAACACCCAAAGUCGGUGGGGU